AUACGAAGGGGGCUAGCGUUGUUCGGAAUCACUGGGCGUAAAGCGCACGUAGGUGGAUCAAUCAGUUGAGGGUGAAAUCCCGGGGCUCAACCUCGGAACUGCCUUCAAUACUGUUGGUCUUGAGUCCGAGAGAGGUGAGUGGAAUUCCUAGUGUAGAGGUGAAAUUCGUAGAUAUUAGGAAGAACACCAGUGGCGAAGGCGGCUCACUGGCUCGGUACUGACGCUGAGGUGCGAAAGCGUGGGGAGCAAACAGGAUUAGAAACCCCAGUAGUCC
rnacentral:rRNA from 1 species